CGUUCCCUGCAGUGUUUGAACUAAGGUGAAAUGCCCUUGGACCUAAUGACCUACUCGGGAAGACAGAUCACUUUGCUGGUGUGCACGCUUUAAUAGUCAACGACUAUUAGAGAAGCCUAAUGCAAAUGUCCGACUCCCACUUGAACCUCUCGGUUUAAGGUAGAAACCUGAAUGCGGCAUCAGCGGGGAACGU
rnacentral:other from 1 species